AUGCAAUGUCUCGCAAUCACUGUGCUCUCCCUCUUCCAAGCAUACAGAUUCUCUCUCUGCACCAGGCUACUGGAGUAUGUGGGAGGGAGUGGCAUCAGCGAUGCAAGACUGUUUUUCCUGUGCUUUUCAGUGCUUCUUUUAGAGAUACGAAGUUAAAACCAGGUGAAACAGUCCUGUGAUGCUGUCAUUAGGUGAUCACUGAGAGAGUGGUGGCAUCUCAUCUCAUCUAGUUCUGCCCUUGUGUUCUCUAUUCAGACUGUCUUCUAUCUCAUCAUUGCUAAAACUAUCUACAGGCUAUCAUUGCCAACUGUAUUCAGCGGAUCCAAUGAAGAAUUCUGCAUCCAGCCCUAGGGAUGUUGGAGACACAAGCUGCAGAAUUUCACUCUUGUUGCCCAGGCUGGAUUACAAUGGCGCGAUCUCAGCUCACUGCAACAUCCACCUCCCAGGUUCAAGUGAUUCUCCUGCCUCAGCCCCCCGAGUAGCUGGGAUUACAGGCACCUGCCAUCAUUAAUAUCACAUAGAAUUUCAGUUUUUCUAAUACUUAAUUUAAAAAUCUAGAUUAAACUUUUUGUUUCACAUAACUUUGUAUUUGUUUGCUUUCUUUGUAACGAUAAAAUGUGGAAUAUAUUUGGAUCUCAUGUGUAACCUUACCCAGAGUAGUAAGAAGGCAUCGUAUGUGUCCACAU